rnacentral:lncRNA from 1 species
CAAUGACAUUGUAAUGGUUUGCCAUUUCCUUCUCCAGCUCAUUCUACAGAGAAGGAAACUGAGGCAAAAAGGGUACAGUGACUUGCCCAGGGUCAUACAACUAAAGUCUGAGUCUGGAUUUGAACUCAAGAAGUGUAACUCUGGCUUAAUAUAUAUUACAAGAAAAUGCGAAUACAUCUGAAAACCCAGAAGAGAAGCUGAAGAAUUGAAUGUUGUUAUUGGUUAUUUUUUUAAAUCACCAAUUAGAAGAAGGCAUCAGGGGCAAGGUAACCCCAGUUCAGGGAAAAAAAAGAUGAUAAUUAUGAGAAAAGGGGUAAUGAGACCACAACUGGUCCUUUCCAAAAUUGGCAAGACGAAUACCUUUCUGAGUUAGACAGUAUACUUAAAGAAAAGAACACAGCUGGAAGCAGUAAAUAAAUUAUUGAUUAGGAGAGAUUGUGUGGUGUAU